GAUGAACGCUGGCGGCGUGCCUAAUACAUGCAAGUCGAGCGAACAGACGAGGAGCUUGCUCCUCUGACGUUAGCGGCGGACGGGUGAGUAACACGUAGAUAACCUACCUAUAAGACUGGGAUAACUUCGGGAAACCGGAGCUAAUACCGGAUAAUAUAUUGAACCGCAUGGUUCAAUAGUGAAAGACGGUUUUGCUGUCACUUAUAGAUGGAUCCGCGCCGCAUUAGCUAGUUGGUAAGGUAACGGCUUACCAAGGCAACGAUGCGUAGCCGACCUGAGAGGGUGAUCGGCCACACUGGAACUGAGACACGGUCCAGACUCCUAUGGGAGGCAGCAGUAGGGAAUCUUCCGCAAUGGGCGAAAGCUUGACGGAGCAACGCCGCGUGAGUGAUGAAGGUCUUCGGAUCGUAAAACUCUGUUAUUAGGGAAGAACAAAUGUGUAAGUAACUAUGCACGUCUUGACGGUACCUAAUCAGAAAGCCACGGCUAACUACGUG
rnacentral:rRNA from 1 species